rnacentral:rRNA from 1 species
GACGAACGCUGGCGGCGUGCUUAACACAUGCAAGUCGAACGGAAAGGCCCUGCUUUUGUGGGGUGCUCGAGUGGCGAACGGGUGAGUAACACGUGAGUAACCUGCCCUUGACUUUGGGAUAACUUCAGGAACCUGGGGCUAAUACCGGAUAGGAGCUCCUGCUGCAUGGUGGGGGUUGGAAAGUUUCGGCGGUUGGGGAUGGACUCGCGGCUUAUCAGCUUGUUGGUGGGGUAGUGGCUUACCAAGGCUUUGACGGGUAGCCGGCCUGAGAGGGUGACCGGCCACAUGGGGACUGAGAGACGGCCCAGACGCCUACGGGAGGCAGCAGUGGGGAAUAUUGCACAAUGGGCGGAAGCCUGAUGCAGCAACGCCGCGUGCGGGAUGACGGCCUUCGGGUUGUAAACCGCUUUCGCCUGUGACGAAGCGUGAGUGACGGUAAUGGGUAAAGAAGCACCGGCUAACUACGUG